CCCAUCUCCAUGCCCCGUGGCAGCAGCCCUGUGAACAUCCCCAGGCUGUGCCGGGCUCUGAUGUCAUUCCCUUUGUGCUCCGGAUGCACACAGGAGGCUGCUGGCACCCCCAGCCCGGCUGCAAUUACACGAGCUUUGAAUUUUUUCCUCUAAAAAGUAGAAAAUGGAGAUUUUUUUUCACUAUCAUCUUUGGCUGAAAAAACAGAGCUUUGUCAGUGGGCUUUUGGGGGGGGGGGCUUGACCAGUUUUAGGGUGCAACGAGGCGCAGGGCAGGCAUGAGGGGAUGAGGGAACACCCCCAGCACAGCCUCCCCACAGCCCAAACAUCACAGCUGUGGGCUCCGGCUCCAUCGGCCUCCCAUGUUGCCAUGGCAACUGCUGCAUCCCAGCCUUGGAGAACGUCGGCACGGACGGGAGAUGCUGCAGGAUGGGAUGGGAUGGGAGGUGUGACGGGGAUGGGAUGGGAGGUAUGGGAGAUGCUAUGGGGACGCACUGUGAGCUGUUAUGGGGUCAGGAUGGAGAUGCUGCAGGGAUGGGAUGGGAUGGGAGAUGCCAGCUGCCUGCACUGCAGCACGGGGGGAAGCCGAGCUCCUCACUGAGCUGCUGCUCCUGCAUAAAGGCCUCAUCUGAAAGACUAAUCGGGGCUUUAAUAAACAGUGAAUGAGGCGCCGGUGGGCCCGGCUCAUACGCCAUCUCUAACACCCCCGGGGGCUUACAGACAUCCAGAACACAGCUAGAGCAUGCCUCAGGGGGAUGUUAAUUGUUUGCAGCCCUGGAGGCACCGCGCUGGAAAGAAACUUUGGCACAAAAGCUCCCAGGUGAGGUGGGAGGGCUGCACAGCCCCUCUGCUCAGCUUCCAAGUGCCACCCCCAGCCCUGCACGGCCGCAGGCAUUUGGGUCACUCCCUUACCCCACUCCUCACCGCCCAGCAGGCAGACAGGGAUGGAUGGACAGAUGGACGGGCAGACAGACAGACAGACGGAUAGGUGGAGCUCCAAUCAGGGAGAAGGGAAUGGAGCAGGGAUGGAUGCUGCCUGGGACAGAGCAGGCACUUCAGCCCCAAACACCUCCGGGUAUGGGUGCUCACAUACACACACAUCUCAGGUCUCUCUCCUGGGGCUGCACCUCCUCACGCAGAGCUUCUCCCUGUGCCCAUCAGCACUCCUCUCACUGAAGCAUCCAUCACCUCAUCCUCCAGCUUGCACCUGCCCGGCUGCCCUGCUCCCAGCGCUGGGUAACAGUAAGCUGUGUCCCUGCAUUCCCUCCCUUCAGCUCCUCCAGGUCAGAGAGGUGCAGCUCCUGCAGCCGUGUAGGACUGGCCUGGCUGUGCCACCACCCGAGGAGUCUUUCUGAGGGCACAGCAGUGCCAUGCUGGGCACGAGGCAGGGAUGGGAGAGAUGAGGCCAGGUUGGGUCCGUGUGCUGAGCAGCCCGAGCAGCUCCGGGCUGUGCCUCACAUCCAAAUAGGCUUCAACAUUGCGAGGUGUUGGUUGAUGGGCUCUGGAGGAUGAGCACCGCUGCACGGCGAGGAUGGAGGAAGGAUGGAGGAAGGCUGCCAACCCAGUGAAGUCUCUCAGGAAGCAAACAAUCUAGGGGGUUUUGUACUCCAUUCCUUGCUUUCAUAAGCUAAAUGGAUUGUUUGCAAGUAGGAGCCAGCUGCAAAGCUGGCAAUCUCCGAUCGGAUCUGCCUUUCUCCUCAUUCCAGCCAUCCUUAAUUCGCUGCUCAGUUCCAAGGAGAGGAUCCUGGUGGCCCCCAGGCAGUCUGCAGGAAGGACGGCUGAGCUGCGGCUGUUUGUGGCACUGGGCAGCAGGAUUGGGCCCUGCAGCACUCCAGAGAGCAGUGGGGUGCUCAGGAAUGGCUGCUGAGCUCAUUAUGGGAUGCCAGCAUUUUGGAAGUGCCGGAAGAUGAUGUUUUCCCUGCUCCGUGCACGGAGGGCUGGUUCAUCGUGCCAAGACUAAUUAGCUGGGCACUAAAAUAAGGACUGAGGAUGCUCCCGAAGCACCUGGCGCUGCCCCAUUUCUGUGGUGGAGCCCAGGGCAGUUUCACCACUGGGAAACUGAGGCACAGCUCCCACCCACUGCGUUUGCAGACAGGGGUUCAACUCAGCAUCCUUUUAAUUCUCAUUUGUUUCCAAGCUGUAUGUGGCUCGCAGGCACGACAGAAGCGCGCUGGAGUGCAGCAAGAUGACCUACUUACUGAGCUGCAGGAGCAGCACAGGCCUUGGGUCACGCCGGCUCCUGGGACCCCGAGGGACAGGGACAGCUGGCACGUGGACCCCAGGACUUCUCUCCAGGGGAUGCACGGCCCCAGCAGGCAGCCUGGACAGCUGGGUGGGCACAUGGCUGGCAGCAGGGCCAGGGAGCAGGGACAUGUGAACGCUGGGCUGUCCAGCUUCCAGCCUCUUCCAAUGGUCCUGCCCGGUACGCUCAGCUCCCAGGGGAUCCAACCUCCCUCCUUCUAUCUCCGUGCUAUUUACUGGGGUUCUGUCUUCAGUUCAAAGGUCAUGGCAACAUCAGAACGUGGAGUCUCCAUAUGCUCAAGAGUGAGAUAGCAGAGAACCUCUGCCCCCUGUGUUUACCUCCUGGUUUUUAACCCGAUCCGAUGAUUCCUCCAUGAACACGAGCAGAUCAUGAAUGCACUCCCUUAGAAAUCACGGUACAGUUCAGGAGGAUUUGUUCCUGGGCACUGAUCCUUCACCACUCUCAUUCAUCUAACAGGAUGCUUCAGAAUUUAUUAUAAUGACAAACAAGUGCUGGUGCUCCUGGAGGCCGGGAGCGGCUUUGUGCCCACCUGCACAGAUACCCCCUGCAAUGGCACUGGCCCACGGGCUACCUGAGGGCUGUGACCAGCAGCUAGCAGCUCUGGGAUUCAAUGUGGCAGGUGCUGUCAGACGUCAGGGAGUCAAAAAGACAACAGAGCAGCUCUUCAGCCUGGGGAGAUGAGAAGGAAAAGAAGGAAGGGCUGUGAAUUUUGUGCGUUGCAAAGAAACUCCCUGCAGGUCCCUUCCCACCCAAUCUAUGGGUUCUGCUACCUCCUCUCCUCUGCCCCUCUAAUGCUGGUAGGUCCCACCCCACGGCCCCAUCCCGAGCUGCACGCAGGGAGAAGCUCUGCUCAGGUACAGCUGCCAACACUCAAACAGUCUCCACCUGGAAAUCUGAAUUCUCACCCUAUUUCCUAUUCCCAGACUGCACGGGGAGUCGGAUGAAGUCCCUUUUCUCUCCCAUGAUAUGAUUCCAUCAGUGAACACCAUUCAAAGCGUGAGGAUUUGCAAUCCGUGUUCACUUAACCCUCUGAACUUUGCCUGAUAUCAUGGUGUUGCUCAUUAGCUGUAACCUGGAAAGCCUGGCUGACAUUUCAUAAACUCAUUAGCAAGAGAUCAGAGGAUCAAACACAGUUUCCAGGGACAUCUUUUGAGGUACAGCCAUUCCCCGGUGCGCAGCUCUGGCUCUGUGACUUCCAAACCCACUGUGGACCUGGGAGCAAAAGGGCCCUUUGAAGAGAACCACGGCUCACUGCUGUGCUUCCUGCAGCCCCAGGGAGAAGCCCUGCAGCCCACAUUGCCCCAGGACACGGCUCAGUCUGAGCUCUGCCCCGCUGCCAUCCGGGCUGCUCCUCCAGAGGCACACAACCCAACUGAAAUUUUCUUUUAAAAUCCAACCCAUCUGGACAAGCUUCAUUCACCACGAGGACACAAAAGGUCCAUCUAUUCCAUAACCAUCUCUCUACUUGCCUGUUUCUCAUUCUGGGGAUAGAGGAGAUGCUGUGCCAUGUCCAGCACCGACUGCUUCUGCCAACGCACGCUGAGGGUAAAGACAAAGGGAAGGCAGAGUUAUUUUGCCAUCUAAGCUGUUAAAACUGCUGAUGACCCAGCUUUGGGCAGGGCUACGCUCAGUGCCAGCAGCUCUGGCCGUGUGCAUCUGUUACUGAACUUCUUUACACAGCUAAAUCCUGGGUUUUACAAAGCUUUGUAUAAAUGGAUUUGGAUUCUUAAAAUAUAAGCCUCCAAACAAACAGUAACGACCCAUUGCAUAAUGGGGUCUGUGGGGCAGUGGGAAUACACACACAUCCAGGUAUGCCAGGCCUGUGCAAGGGCCUUUUUCUCACCAAAGACCACCGCUGUGUUUUCCCAUGCACAGAGGGCUUCCCGUGCUGCCCCUCACAGCAGGGCAGGCUGCACUGCUCACGCUGCGCUUUGGUCCCUGUCGAAUCACAUGAGUUGACCACCAGAUAUAUUUGAGGCAUCUCAAGGCAAGACACGAAGCUCACAAUUGCUUUCUUAGCCAACCCCAUGCACAGGCAGAGCCUUCAGCCUCUGGAAGAGCUCCCAGCUCCCUGCCCCCACACCCAGCUACUGCACUUGGCAACAGUUUUCCCUCCAGUGGUUUCCAUCAGCCCCAGGAUUUCACAUCCCGCACGUUCCUCCUUUGAUUUCUAAACCUCCUUUCCCUCCAAAGCCUCCCAGAGAUGAGCCUCCUAUAGGGAUAACAUCGCUCCCUGCUAACAGCAAUUAACACUUGGUAAGAACGUCUUGUCAGACAGCACAACAUCCAGCUAAGUUCCUCAGCACUUGGAGCUCACUGUGAUCGCCUGCACUCUGAUUUUCCUCCCCUGCAGCCAGGAUUUGGGUGUGCUUCAGCCCAGCAUCGCUGAUGGAGCUCAGCACAACGCGAACCAGCUGAGUUCCUAGGGACCCUACACAACACAGGUGGGUCCCAGCAACCUUACCAGCACCUGGAAGUGCUUUAUGAGAGCUCAGAUAACCACAGAGGAGUCAUUUCUGCUGUGGUCACUAUAAAUGAGCAUCUCUUAUUGAGGCGACUACACGUGGUUUGCUGUGCACACCGAGCAGAGAACGCCUUUCUCCGAGUUGCUUUGAGCCUGCUUGUAAAUUCUUCCCUCUGCCACCCUGCAGCUAGGAAAUCUGGCUUUAAAAACAAGUUAUGACAGGGGAAAUUCAAAUGCUUUCUAAUGGAGACCUAGGCAACUGAGUGCUGGCAGAACUAGAAAGGCAACUCUCGCAUCUGUUUGCCUUGUCUGUAGGUAGGAUGGUGUCACUUCCUCCCCCAGGAUCUGCCCUGGUCCCACUGUCUCAAGGCUGUGGUUCACCUCUCCCAAACACCUGACUCCACUGCCCUGCAAAUUGCCCUUGGCAUCCUCCUACAUCUCACUUUGGCUCCGCUCUUUGCAGUCAACCAAGCUCACAGACCGCUUUGUGCCUUCACCUGCCUAAGUUCUGUCCCUUUCUGCAUUCUUCCUGCACUUUGGUGCAGAAAUCAUCCCUUCACAGACACCCAGAGAACGGACAGAGGGCACAGGGUGGGUGCUGCUGAACACCAGCACACAGCUAUGAGGGUCUGCAGCUGCCUUUAAGGGAACUGCUCUGCACAGUGCAUCCUCUGAGCGUCCCCUUUGUGUGCCACCAACAGAGCCAUCAUAGCAAGGCUCAGAACAAGCAGCAGCACUAGCCAAGCCUGCGUUGUUCCUUCAGCACCUGAUUCCUUCUUACCACAGCCCACCUCUGCCAUCACAUCCCCAUGGCACAGUGCCUAAGUGAUGUGGUUCAGCUGUGAACCAGUUCCCAGGGCCAGAAAAGAAUCUCCCACACAGCAGUGCUUCAGCAGAGCCCGGGCAGGUAUAUUGGGAUCCUGGACCACAGCAGUGAUACAGAUAGGCAGUGAUUUAUUCAGUGCAGGAGAGGUCACGUGGCUCCUGCUGAUGGAGGCAUAAGUGCAAUUAAGCUCAGAUGUUACUCUGAAAUGUUUAUAAACUAGGCAGUGAAGAUGCCUUAGCAUGAAGUGUCCUUAUGAGACACUGGUUCAGUCAGGCUGGCUUGCAGAGACAUUUGCAAAGUUGACUUUAAGCGGUAUGAUGGCUAAUGGUAGAGCACGGGCACUGCUGGCUGGAGCUCAUCUAGCCAAAGAUCUGUGCCUCUCCACCUCCCAGCCCUGUGCAACACCCUGCUGCCCCUCCCCUUCCACCAGCACCACCCACAACAAAGACAAAGACUAUGUUUGUAGAACUGGUUUCAAAUGGUUGCACGAGUUCUGGCAGCGGGGCUGAAGGCAGAGCAGCUCCUGCCCUGUGGGAGUGCCUGCAGGAUGCAUGCACACAACAACAGGCCAAGGUAACCCUACAGGAGGCAGAAGUGCUGUGCUACAGGUUGCAGCCAGACUCUGACAGCAAAAUAGAGAGGUGGGGGAUGCUGUUCUGGCUCCUGGCCCCGCUGACAGCCCUCUCCCAGAACCCCCUCAGCAGUGAACUCUGGGGCUCCUGACAGCUCUCUUCUUUCCUAAAUACCACCCCCUGCACACAGAAACUUUCCCUCUGGGAGGCAGUGGGUUAAUUGGCCUGAUAAUCAGCCUGUUUCACUAAUCAGUCCCUGUAGAGGGGUUCUGUUUAUUUUAUCAGGCUUAUAAAUCCAGCGUUCCUGGUGAUUUAUUUAAGAGGCUGAUUUCUGAUUUUGCUCUCUGGCGUUUAUUUUAAGCAAUUAUUAUUAUUUUUUUUUCUUCAUAGCAAACACAGAAUCUGCUAAGAUAUUUCCCCUAGGAAUUGUAUUGAUUCGGCAGGUCUAUUCCCAACGUGAGUCCUUCUCUCAGACAAUUCCCUGUACUUGUGGAGCCACCUUAGAGAUGCUCCGAGCCCUUACCAAAGCACACAACUCACUAGUUGGCAUCCUGAGCAUGGGGCACGUGGACUUCAGCCUAAGGAACACCCUGAGAUGUCAGUAUGUUGAAAACAACAUGGCUUAAAAGAACCAUAGAAUCAUUAGGCUGGAAAGAUAACUAAGACCACCCAGCCCAACCAUCCCUCGUGCCUGUGACGUGCCCUCCUUUGGAGGAACACGUUGCCUUUGAGUGGCACUGAACACUGUGGGAGCCCAAACCACAAGUGAAUUACAGAGCAGCCAGCUGUCCUGGUUUGGAUCACACGCCUUCAGGUAGAGAAAUGAGGCAGUGGUGAAAAAGUGUUGUUAAAGUGUUAUUGUUCCUCACUUACCUGUCCAGCAGGGAGUCGAAGCCAAUGACCGCGUUGUCUCGCUCUGCUGCUACCACCAGGCACAAACCGUCCAUUAAGAGGGAACACUGAGAGAGGGAAGAGCACAGCCUUGGUUUGCUAUCCGCUUAGAUAAGGCUGUAAGCCUCACUGAUGAGCUGCUGACAGCAGAGAUAACUGCUGUGUGAGGGGAGGAAGGAGAGCAGCAGACUCUCACACUGAAGGAGUAUCACGUCUGAACUGUUGGUUCACCCGUUCCUAUGGCAUGCUGUUAGUCCUGCUCUCUCCUCUCAGAGCGAAAAUAAGCUGGGUCUUGGGUGUGUUUUCCAGUCACUAAUUCUGCUGGAAGCAGGAACAUGGACAUCACUGCGAAUGCCUGAGACGUCGCAGCAGAAACACUUAUCACUUGAAGGAGCCCAUCGUCCUCCUGGCAAGGCAAGGCUGUAAACGUUUGCCUUUGGCUCAGCAGUGCCAGACCCCUGUGGAUGCAUGCCAGCUCUGCCCACGGCCAUUCAUCUCUGACAGGAGGACGUGUUUGCAUGGCCAGGGGAGCAGGGCCACGCUGCCCUCUCCUUCCCACACACCCACUGGCUUUGUCCUUCCUAGAGAGAUGUGCACAUCCUGGUGCGCAGAGGGACGGCGUCCUCGGGGGAACUGCAGGGCAGUGCUCAGACUAAUUGGAUGCUGGAUGUAAUUGCUAUUCUGUACAGAUGUACUUCGAAGGGAUGCUGUCAGUUUAAAAAAAUCACAACCUGAAAAGAUCUCACCUGCUUUAUUAUAGGUUGCACCUAAGACGCUCAUAAGUACCAAUGGGCUGGAAACAGAAAUGUUCUUAUUUUUUCAUGGGAACUGCUGCAUGCCUCUGACAGCCCUUUGUUGAUUGCUACUGCCAGUAUAAGUAGCUCCCCCCCCAUUGAUUGCUCUCUGCUCCUGACAGUGUUUUCCUGCACGUUCCCCCUUACUGCUUUGCUCUAGCAAGGUUCCUGGAAUGGUGUGUUUAUCCUAUACCAAGUACAAAGAGAAAAACAGCUCUGGUGUGAUGCUGCACUGCUGUAAAGCAAGGUCCUGGCUCACCCCAGAAGCAGAUCUCGUGCUUACACCCCGUGAGCGCUUGCUUAAACCCCAUGCUGGACUGCAGUGCAAGUUGUCACCACCAGCAGAAUGAGAGAUGGAAUUAAAUCUCUGCCCAGAACUCCAGGGCACCGUCCAAAAAGUGGAAGGGUUAUUUAGCAUCGUAGAGGAGGAUUAAUGGAGUGUGAUUACAGAAAAGGAAAUAGAAACUGUAUUUAUCUGGAAGAACAAGACAAGAUACAACAGCAGAACAUACAUAACAGCAGCAACUGUGCACUGUGAGGUGAAUGGAAGAAAAUGUCUGAAGGGGAUGUACCAUCCACAAUAAGGUUAUGUUUGCACAUCAUGAUGUCAAGUUUAGGUGUCUGUGAGUUAAUGGAGAUACAGGAACACAAAGCAGGGAGAAGCUGGCAAGGCACACUGCCCAAAUUACUUACUAGUGCAUAAGAGAUCAGAUAGCAGUGCGGUGCUAACACUGCUACCAAAGCUGGUCUGCUCAGAGCUAGCACAGCACUGCAUCAAAUGACUCUUCUUCCCUGGGGAAAGAAGCAAAGUGCAAAUCCAGACUUCGUACCUUUGCUGCCACACCACAUUUGGCCCUGCUCAGUAUCUCGGAGAUGCAAUGAGCUUGUGGUGCAUCCAGCACAGUGAGGCGUACUCCAGUCACCGUGAAACCUUGGCCAAUAAGCUGAUCAAGCAGUUCAACAUAAGGUGGGUCCGAACCCCUGAGGAUUAUCGCCGGCAGGAUGAGGCAAGUGGUUUGGCUGAGGUUACUGAGCACUGGCCGAUCUGAUGGGAAAAGAUCAAAACACAACAGAUGCUUUAUAUCAACCCCCUCUGACUGCUAACCCCCUGAAUAGUUCCUCCCUGCCACAAACACGUAACCAGAAGAUCAGAGGCACUCUGGCAUUAUUAUAUCAUUUGGGAUGUUUGGAGAUGUGACUGCUCAUCCCAAACUGUCAGGCUGCUGUGUGCCUGUGUGUGUGUAUCUGGAGAUCACAAGGCAGCAGUAGUGACCCCAUUCUGGGAGUCAGGCAAGGACAGCUGCUGGUUUGCUACAGGAGGUGCUAUUCCACUUACUUUCUCCCAAGCGAAGAAAUCUGUUAAUCCAGCUGCUUUCAUAAUCCACAAUGUAAUUCUCAGCAACAUACAUAAGAUUUAAUGUAGUUCAUAUUUUCCCCACGAUAAAUCUGUCUGUCCGUUAGGCUUUGUGAUCAUAAUUUGCCAAAAGGAGACGUUUCCUUGUGUGCAAGAGCUACCUCUAGCGUCCAAGAAGAGGCCACCAAGUGAAUGAUGUGUCUGGCUUGCUGGCAGCACUCACUGUAUUGUGCCUGACAGCCCAGGGAUCACGUGUGCUUGCUUUUCCAGGACAGUAGCUCUUUGAAAAACAUUUUCUGAGACACAAACACAUCAGGGCUGUACACUGGUUUCCUUUUCACUCUGCUCAGAAAUCUUCAAAGCAAAGGAUUUCUCACGAAGCAGGAAAUUGAGGGCACAUACUUUUGAGAUUUGCUUCCCAGAUUGAGCCAUACAGAACCUGCAGAAGGCUUGUGCUAUCUCCACAACGAGCUCUCCAGUGUUAUUAUUACUCUUGUUCUGGGGCUCAUAUAGUGGCUGGGGAAUGGCAGUAAUGUUGAGAGACAGACCUCAGCACAGCCAACAGUUUAAUCUUAAACCUUCAUACAGCCAACCUCUGAUGUAUUAGUGUGCAGAAUAAGAAAAAGAGUUUGCCUGAGAAGAUAUGGCCUUACUCGUGUGACUUUAGUCAGGAUCAUGAAGCAUGCGUAGGGCACAGUCCAAAGCUGAUAGAAGACAACGGAAAGAUCCCACUGAUAAUGGCCUUGGGAAAAUUCCUCCUUCAGAGGACCCAAUUCCAAAUGUUUUUGCUCCCAGUAAAUAUCACAGGGAUACUUUACUUGGUCACCACUUGGGUACAAAGGUUUGGGAAGAGCCCACAGGACCCCAACAUGGAAGCAUCUAUGUAAGAGUUACAUCUCCUGGCAUAAAAGGCGGAGCAUCAGAGCCUGCAUCGUAUUCACGCCUAUCAAGUACAAUCAGCAGAAAAGAGCCAGAGAAACUACAAACAUCUGAGGGAACUGACAGGCCUGCUGCUUAAGUUCUGACUUGGAAACAAACUCAGACCAGCACCCACUGGAAGUUAUUUUUAGCUGUCAGACAUUCAGCAGCCAGUGGGAACCGAAUGAGAUCUCAGUCCAGUUCCCGAGAGAUGGAUGUCCACACAGCCAAAACCACUCCCUGCACAAAUUGCUGCUUAUCCACACCCAGAACAAAAGGUCUCUCUAUUGCCCAUCACUGUGGUGCCUUGGUCUCUCCUGAGGCUGGCUUAGAAUGGACAUGCAAACCACUGUGGCCAAGCUGGUGCUGAAACACACUGUAAAAUUUCAGCAACAUUCACUGUUGCUUAUGUUAUCUGUGCUGACAGUGCUGCUGCUUCUGCUGCUGAGAAGGUCAGCACUUCUCAUCAGCCCUAUGUUUAAACCCAUGAAAGAAGUGGUAGAAGAAAGGCCCAGCAGGCAAAGAGUUAACUGGCUGGACUCCACUGGAGCUGUUCUUUGUAGCUCAGAGUUGUCCCUCCCUUCUGAAAGGACAUCAAUACCAAAUCUUGCUGCCACCAGAUGGUCUGUCCUGCCGUCCAAUUAAUCAAUAACAGCCUCAAUCUAUAACAAGAGUUAUGCAUUUCCUUACCAAGAUCGCGUGGUUGCCCAGAGCCCGGCAAAUCAAGUUGCCCUCCUGUUUCAUGUUUUAUGAUUUUGCACUGCUUGUUGAUUUCCACACUAACUAUGGGGUCACAUUUCAGGUUAUAGAUCUGCAGGAAGGAAGGGAAGGGGAGGGAGAGAGAGGCAAGUCAUGUGAGCACUGUUACCUAAUCAGGAAGGAUAGCACUUAUCAACUAUUGAUUCAGGCAAGCUGUGAAGGUUUUGAUGGUGUUGUGUGCUCCUGUAAUUACCAGCCUAGAAAACACCUGGUUGUCUGGAGAUAAAAGAACAUUUUGCAUGCAUUCUUUCUUAUUGGGGCUUAACUAAGCAUGGCAUCUUGCUAUCCUUUAAGGCUCCUGCAUCCAGACAUCUUUCUAAGGUCUCCGUUUCUGGCUCUUCAAGGCCAGAAACUCAAGGACCCCAAGUGUACAUCAUUUACCCAGUGCCUAAGUAGAUGUAGCAGCUCCCUUCUGUCGUGGAACAAAUUGUCACAUCCAUGCAACCCAGCACAGUGCAGCCCUGAUAUUCUGGACUGGGUCACAGAGGAAGGACAUCCACAUCAUGGAGCACUUCAAAGGUGGGGUCAGCUACUCAAUCCCAUCUCUUUGUUGGGCAUAACUCAGCACUUCAAACUCUUUGGUUUUGAGAAGCAGCCGAUCAGAGUGGUCAACUAAUGAUUAGCUAGUACAAAACCAGCUGAAAAGGAAAGACUUACCGUUUCAUUUUAGCCACUGGCAAAUUAGAGUACUUCAAAUCAGAGACCAUUGCCCACACAGUGUGAAGGGCCAGAUGAGCAGAGCUGGCUGUACAAGUGCUGGUGGGCUUCUCGGCACUACCAACAAUAUAGGAGGCAAGAAUCUGAGACUUUAUGCCUUCAGCUGUAAGCAGGGGAAGAUGUGGGCAUCCAGCAGCAAACUGUGCCUGUGACUUAUAGCAAGGAGUGUCCUAUUUGAGACAGCUCUGUCUUUACAGUGCUGUGAAUUGGUACUUCUGUUGGCAGGGUAUGUGGGCCAGCACCCUUCUCACCCCAUGGGGCAGUGCUCCAUGCCAGGACCACGUGCACAUGUGCACUCACCGGGAUACAUUCAGCAGCCAGUGAGUUAUUUUAUUAGCUGUCUCACUUCAUCUCAGUUGCUGAACAGUACAUGUGAAAAGCUGGUAACAAUCAGCCUCUGGGUCAGCUAUGUCUAAGCAAUCAUGGGUGAUGUUGCUAUUGUUCCCCAUGACCUGCUUCCAAAGCAAUGUUGGCUCAGUGUAGGAACUUCGCUUCUAAAGCAACAGCCCUGAGCCUUCCUGAAUUUAUAGCACAGGUCACUGAACAAACGCAUCUGAAAAAGCACUUUUCCUCUGAGACUGUCGGGGUCAAUACAAAGUUAGCACAUUGUGGCAGGGACAUCCAGAGGAGAAGGAAAUCUCAGCAGCCGGUGAAACACAGCAAGAAAGCAUUAUCUAAAGUGUAAGAGGAAGGAAAACAAGGGCUAGCAGGACCAAAGCCAUUGCUCUGACACAGCAGGAGACCCUUCAGGAAAGGGCAGAAUCCUACCUCUUCUUCCUCCAGUGUCUGGCACUCGGCGCAGCACAGACCUUCUGGGAAAAACAGCUUCAUAUCCCGGACAGAUAUUUGGUAGGAUUCGGAGCCUGAGAGAUAAAUACAAUGAGAAGAUUCUUUCAGGACAUGAAUUAAACAUUCUCUGGACUCACACUCAUCUUCCUGAGAGAUUGAUGAUGUGCAACUUACUGAAGUAAUUGCUUUAAAGGCCAGCUGUUCUGUAUAGUAAUAGCAAACAUUUAAAACCAUUAUAUUUAGAAUAGUUUCAUUGCAUUUUUGGUAUUUUGAUUCUGCUCCGUUAUCACUCAGCUCAUCCUCCAUGUAAACAAGACUCCCUCUAUUUCCUAACAGUGGAGUCAAGGGAAUCACAUUAAGGAGCCUGUGAAUACCAGCUCCAGCCCCCUGUUCUUCCCAUGCUUUUGGAUCAUGUCAGGCUAGUCCUGUGGAACAGAGCUACUAGUUACUAAAACCAGCUGUACUUCAUAACAAUGAUGUCAGGCCCUAACAUGUUAGCGACUGCUGUACAACAGAGCAAAAGAAACAAGGUUAGCAUGAGACAUUACUGACAGCAGCGUAUUGCACCGUUCACCUGUAGUCCUGCAAAGUAGAUUGAGACUGGAAGAGGUACGAAGAAUGAAUGUGAAGGUCAGAGAAGGAGUGGGGAAUCAUCUGAAGAGUCAAAACUAAAGACCUCAGCUUGUUUAACCCAAUGUAACACAAAGCUAAGAAGGAAUACAUCGAGGUGAAGAGGUCAGGGAAGGAAAAGCUACUCGAUGUACAUGCAAUGGCACAAGAGCAAAUGGAUACAAACCGUGUAUGACUGCAUUUUAAAUUGAAAAUGUAUGAAGAUUUCCAGCUGGGAAGUUCCUUAACAGAUACCCAAAUUUGGGUGAAUGCUUAUGAGAGGCAAUAGAUGAAGUGAACUCAGUGACUUAGAGGUCCCUCCAGCUUAGCAGCUGAGUAUUUCCCCAUCAAGUAACAGCGUUAGAAACCACUACUCAGAAGGUUUUGAGAUUUGUGAGUGGAAAACCUUUGAGGAGAAGCUAUUUCUAAAUAACUGGAGUUCAGAUAGGCUGUCAGCGUGCUGGCACGGAUCCACGCUCCUGGGAUACAAAUACACAAAAGGCAAAUAUAUUCUGAAAUAUUAUCACUUUUGCAGACUACACAUUUAAAAAAAAAUUGUGCCUUGCUGCUCCUAGAGCACUCAGCCCUGUGUGGGCAUCCAUAAUUCUAAGUAUCACAUAGCCAGAGCGCUUAACACAGUAGUUUACAGCCCUGAGAUUGUAUGUGUCACUGGUAUAUAAGUCAUGCUGUGUUCUUUAUGUACCUCUGUGUCAAAUCUUCCCCGUUUAAAUCAUUGGUGUCAUUACAAAAGGGACACAAAUGUUCCCAAUGCUAUUCUUAGCAGCAUUUUACUCUUACUUUUCUCAAGGUGUAAUACUGUAUAAGAUGCUCUCUGGGCUCAAGAAAAAGCACUGCACAGUGAUUUCAUAAUGCACCAAAGAGAUGGAAGGAAUGCAGGGUUACCCCUGCAGAUGAGUCUCAGAAUAUUAGAACUGCUUUACUUGGUUUGACUGUUAUCACCAAACCUGGCCUUCCUCCUACCAGAACUUCUCCAGUCACUUCCAGAGGAAGCACAGCUAGAGUUUGCUGCUCUUCAUUCAGCACGAUGGCACUGGCUAGAGACCUCCCUCAGCUGGAGCAAAAGCAAAGAAACAUGGCACUCCCUGCUAGGAAAGAAGCUCCUCCACUGUCCCCCAGAUGACCACUUCUGCACUGAUGACAAUUCCUGCUUAACUUGGGCACAAAUGCUUCUCCCUUUUUGGAGGACAAACUCUAGGACAUGCGAGGCAUUAAGGGUCCUUAAGGACAGACUCCUCCUUGGCAUAGCAGCUGGAUCAGAUUCUUGAGUUUGAGUUACUGUGUACAUAAGCUACAGCUGCAACCAUUUUCCUUGAAUGUGUGCAAUUAAGGCUUUGUGAGCCAUCCGCAUAGCUGGGAUACUAAUGCACAAUCUGGUCUCAGCAGGCAGGUGGUAGCCAGCCAGCUCAGCUCUGUGCCUGGCCCAGUCUUGGAAGGAAGCAGGGAUCUGAAGGGAAUCUCUAAGAAAACAUCUGAGGCCUUCCUUAACACACAGCUCUCUGUAACCCCUGAGUGAAAGACAGGCUGAGAUUCAGCCUCCUUUGCUGAUAUAAACUAAUCUUUAAAAGAAUUAUGCUAGGGAAGCUCCAGGUGUUGCGUGGGUAUAUUAAGUUGGGGUAUAUAUUACCCAUAACUGAUGAGUUCUCAUUCUCAAGGCAACCCAGGAAGACAAUCCAUUAAUCUUAAGAGCAAAAGAUACAGGGGUAUAGUGGAAAAGUACUGGCUGAGAAGCCUUGAGCAUCUCUUGUGUAGGUAGACCCUGCCCUUCUGUCACUCCCACAAAUGAGAACCUAUGAGUAAUUGUGGUGGGAGAUCUCUCUCGGUUUAGUCUUGGUCCUAAGGAUUAUGAUUGUAUCUGACAAAAAGUAAUCCUACAUCAAGGAUGUAGGAUUUUGCUCUCCCCAAAACUGUAGUGGACACUUCACUAUGAGUUCUCUUCAGAAGACCACAAUAUGGACAAAAAGAGUACAGUACAGAAUGCAAUAGAAAACACCAAUUAAUUCAAUGGGUCUUGACGGGAAAGUUCUUUUGGAAACUGAAAGCAUACAGUCCCUGCUAGCUCAACUGUUUUUAUAGAUAUUAUUGAUUGCAUUAUUUUUAUACUCCUUUAACUACAUACAGCACAAUCAGCACAAUAUUGAGAAAAACAAACUACUAAUGGGCUGUCAAUUGAUCAUGCUUAAUUCCUUAUGAAUUUUUGAAUGACAUCCUUCCCUCCUCCUCAUCGAAACAGCCCAGAUCCCCUCAUAUGAUACCCUUGGUUCUCCACAGUCCACUCUCUUCAGCAGUCCUUCUCAUUCUCCCAUCCUUCACCUGUACUCUCAGCUGUCUCCCAUCCCAAUCACUGCAACAUCCUAGUUCCCUCCACCCGCUGCUGGUGGAUGAACUGUGGCUGGUUCAGCAUUGAGGAUGCUGACUAGCUGGCACGCCUCUGCUGACAUGCCAGCUGGCAAGAGCCUCUCAGAAUGGAAAACAGCUGAGUUUACCUGCUUUCCUCAGUGGGAGUAAUUUUUGAUCACCUCUGUCUACCCAGCCAUUAAUGUUUUGAGACGUUACAGGAACUUGGUAUCCUGGAGUCUUUUAUCCCUCUGUGAAAGUUGGCUAGCGGGUUAUAUAGUUAUCAGGAGGAGAGUCAGAAGCACAGAGACAGAUGGGUUAUUGGGGAUAAGUACAAAAUAACCAAGCUAAAAUCACAAAAUGACCAAGCAGGGAAGAGAUUAAAAGAGAUCUGUUCUGAGGGAAGACAGAUCUGGGGCUGUUCUGAGAAGAUGACUUUUUGAUAUAUCUUCUGGGAGAAUAUUUCAUAGCGUGAGAUGUACUCAGGUCAGCCACCAAAAAAACAAUCAAAACUUUCUCGGGAAUGAUGGCCACUGCUGCCUGCCAAGGCUGGAUCUGCGCUGACAGCCCAGGGGGGUAACAGCACGUUAUGCUUUUACCAUUAGCAUAUCUGAGCCUUCAGACUUUUCUUUUACAAAAACCUACCAUAAAAUCCAUUUUGGACAGCGUCGAUGCCAUACUGGGCCCUCCAGAGGCAUGGAUUUAGUGCUUGGGCUACUUUAGGGUCCUCUGGUCCCAGCAUGUCCAUCAGCUUCUUCACAGCAUUUGGUCUCUGAAGACACAGCACAAGAGAAGUGCCUGAGGUAAGGUAGGUACGGUGAGCUUGUAGGACAGCAGGAUCCUGAAAAGAAAUAGCGGAGAGUGAACAGAUUACAAUAAAUGCUGUAGAUGAGUGCUGGAUCCCAACCCUCCAUUGGCUCGAACCACCUUAGAAGCAAACAGAGCUGACAUUAUUCCUUGCUUUCUCUUCCCUUUGCAACACACAUGCUAGUGGCCACUGCACACAUAGCUUCCAGAGCACAUGCAGUGGUCACCAAGCUCGUGUACCUGCUGUGCCAUUCACCAGGUAAUGGGAGGCCCAGUUCCCACCCUGAGCACGCAUGGAACGAAGGAAAGUUCAGCACUGAGCUUGUUCUGGAGCCAUAGCAGCUUUCACAACUUCCACAGUAAUUUCCUAAGAUCCUUUAGUAAGAAAGGAAACAAAAUCCUGUUUGUAAGAGGAAGAGAAGCCUUGUGCUGUGACUGGUUCUGCCCAUCUGGAACACAGAUACCAGAGGUGGAGCUGCUGUUUGUCCUUACCCACUACAAAUGAAUUGUCACUCUGAAGUUAAGUGCCCACUGCUGAACCACUGAUCUGUGGAGAUGCCCUUUUCACAGCACCUUCAGUGUGACAUACGGAUAGGAAAGUGAUGGACAAUAGAAAUAUCAUCACUGUUGUGUAUGCUCUAGGAUAAGGAAACAUUUAGUUCUUCUGCUUAUGUAAGGAGACAAAUAGCAGAACUUUUCUUUUUCAGUUUCAUGAAAGGAAUGCCUCCCACUGUCCCAGUAUACACCGUGCUGUGAGUCCGGGUGGCAGAAUUUCAUACACUAGAUGGGAUCAGCACUGCUGAAAUAGUGAGCUUCAAACAAGGAUGUUCAGGACAGGACACUGAACUGGAGCUGAAGGAAAGCAGCUCAGCUCCUGGCUUUCCCACUGCUAUAACGUGUGCUCCAUGACAAAUUUCUCUACCAUUUUUUCUUUUACAAACACUGCCAGUUCACCCUGAGCAAAGAGAUUCCUCACAUAGCUGUGCAGGUCGCAGGAUCCUGAGGUCUUUAAUUCAGGAUGAGUGUUAAUAACCACUAGCACUCAUCGCACUGGUGACAAGGGAGUGAUUUGUUGGCUAGAGAUGGACGUAAUGAGUGAGAAGUCUUGAGGAAGACAGCAGGAGCCCAGGGCAGAAGGUGGCUAAGGAGCAAAGCAGUCCAAAGCCCUGCUAUUCUCAUUACUCAAAGCCUUGCAGAGCCAGGUUCUUUGCAGAUGUUUCCAUCGAGUGUGAGGUUCACAGCAGCUGUAGGUUCUUUCUGAGCCCUUCAUCCUGAGGAAGAGGCAGGAGCACCCAGGUCUGCCUCCCUGCCCUCUGAGUGACCAAGUGCAGCAAUGCCAGCACACAGAGCAGCUCCAUGCCGGCACUGUGCAUACGCACAACAGCACCUGCAGCUUGCUGGCUAAACCAAGCUAUGGUUAUUUACUUUUAUAUCCAUUUUUGAAGAAAUUAAAAGCUGGAGGAAAAACUCUUGCUUGAUUCAGCUGAAUCACAUCAUUCAGUCCCCCAAAGGUUUUCAUCCCUCUCUUUUUAAUCUUUUCAAAGCACCAGAGGAUGGCAAUUCUCAAGAUAAAACAUUUCUAAAAGAAAAUCCCAUCCUUUCAUUCAAAAAUAUGAAAAUAAAACACUUUGAGGCAUCUUUUGUUUUUCUAUCCUAUGAAGCCAUUCAAUGACUUUGACCCAAAUCUUCUCUCACUCACAUUCCCCCUAAACUGCCUUUUUAUAAGUAGGCUAUAAAGGAAAAAUCAUUGGCUCAGCCCCAGUCUUCUCCUCUGUAUUUGGAAAUGCAAAAUGAUCUGAGAUGCUCCGUUCUUAAGCUGGUUAGUGAGAUAAGGGGUCUGAUACAAUCUGUGAUCUUUGUGAGUGCUCCCAGCCCAUGGGAACACAAGGCAAAGGAGAGCAGGGACAGCUGCACUGGAGGAACACGGAGGGAAGAUUCAGAGCUGUGCUGUGAUUAGAGCUCAGACACUGACAUGUCACGGCAUACUGCAGAUGUGUGACAUUAAUUCAGUUCUCUGUAACACUAAGUAAAGCCCUUUAGGCUUGGAAAAUUUUGAUAGUUUAAAAUACAUGCACAUAAUCCACUUUUCUAAGACGUUAUCAGGACUUCUCGUUGGGAGAUGCAGAACACUGAUGACGUCUCAAUGCAAACUUCCCAAAGCUCUAGAUACAACAUUUCAACAUUCAUCUGACUCCAUGUCACACAUCUGCAAAAGAAAAUGUUCAAAGGUGGUUUCUGGUAAACAGAAUGCAACAAAUGAAAUUGUUUUGUUCCAGACCCCACGCAGAGCACUUUAAGUUUAUGUAACAAACUCUGUUGUCUUUAUAUCCUAUCUUUCAGCUUCUUCCUGGGAAAUGAGCAGGCUUUCGGUUAAUGAUGGUGUUGUUUCUCAUGGCUAGAAUGGUGUCAAUGAGCCAAGGUGACUUCUCUCCCUGUGCUACACUCCUAAGUCCAGGCAGGGCUCUGCCAGCUAAACCAUGCCUCUGCACCAGCCUCAAACCGUGUCCUUGCCAGCACCCAAGCAGCUGCAGCGAGAUGGCACAUGUGCAGCUGCCUGGAAUUCAGUGAGCAAUUUUGUUGAUGCAUGCAGAGAGGAAGUUCCAGCUGAGUGCUGGCUCUGAAGAACUAACAGGAUUAAAAAGCAGCAGAACUGUUCUUCUGCCUCCAGUGUCAGACUCGCAAAGCAGUGCUGGAGGGAAUCCAUCAUGUUACUGAGUCUGGGGACUUGCUAUGGGCAAUCAGAGCAGGUAAUCCAAAGGCAGCAGAUCAGUCCUGCUGUAGAAUCAGACUUUCUAGCUAGCAGCCACAGCUGUGAGUCUCUGCAGUUUGGGAUCUGCUGAAUAAGCGCAGAAAGGAAAACCUCCAUAGGCAGAACAGCCCCUGGAGCAGUUGCUUCUCGCAAUCUUAACACUAUUGGGUCACAGUAAAAGCUGAGAAGGCAAUGUCCGCUCUAUUUAGCUGACCUUUGUUUUUAUUAUUAUCAUCAUUAGCUUUCAGAUAAAAAACAUCGCUGCAUCUCCUGUGAUUGGAUAACCUCAGCAAGCAAAGCAUCAGCCCAUUAUUUAUUGUAGGCCAAAGGCCAGAAGCUGCUUAGAAGCUAAACGCUAGUAUUGCUUUUUCAAAAGCAAUGAUGUCUGACAGCACGUUGCUGAGGGUAUGGGUCAGUGUGCAGGUAAGUCAUACAUCUGAAAGAGGAAGGAGAUGCUGGGCAUUGCUCCCAGUGAAUAAAUCCCUAAUUUGAUGCCAUCUCCCUGCUUACCUUGGGAGCUCAGCCCUUUCCAGCCUGUGUGACUUUGGGUAUGUUCUAAAAAUGAGGAGCCCCCAUGCAGAAGAAAGCAUUUCCUACUGUCCAUUCCCCACUGCUAAAAGCAGCCUAUCGUCAGUACUUUCUCACUUUCAAGUCCUGCCUUCUUCCAUGAACAAAAACCCAACACUCUGUAAUUCCUAAACUUGGUCACCAGCUCUUCAAGGAAACUGAACCAAUGCACAACAGCCACUCCAGUGUGUUCAGGAGCUCUAAAAACAAGAGAAUUUUUUCCUGAAAUAACCUCUCUUCAGAUGUAUCCUAUGUAUAUCUACAUUUCCCCCUCGAGGGAGACACUUAGAUUUUGUGCAAUACCUUUUGUUUCAGAUGAUGGACUAAGCAUUUCUGUGUUUAGCUGUGCAAUUAAAAGCUUUAUAGGGGAAGUACCUCCUCGGCAGCUCUAAUGGCCACUGUCCCACCCUCAGCAGAGAUCUGUGAAUAACUGAAAGCCAGAUGCUUCUGCCCCGUUCCUUUGCUAUCAUGCAGAAUGUAAUAAUCUUUGCUGAUGGAUGGUUACGUAGGAGCAUUGUCUGAGGAUGUUCCCAGUCUUGGAAGACUCUAUUAACAAUUUCUACACUAUGUGCUUUAAACUCUCCCAACUUAACUCAAGAGCAAUAUCCAUUAUAAAGGCUUGCUGUCUAUAAAGUUAAUUGGUUGAGUGUCUUCAGGAAAGCAAUCAACUAACAAGGACAUUUUUCAAGAAAAGAAAUCUAACUCCUCUGCAAUGCUCAUCGCUUCCUGACUUCCACAAUAUCUUUAUUUUGAGAUGAUAAUAGAUGAGCAUGUUUCAGGUUGGGCAAAAAAUGAAUUCCUAACACUACAGAAGAGCAGACAAAUGUAUUUUUAGCUGACAACCCCCCUCAGCACCCUGAGGUUUAAAACCCUCAUCAUUGUCUAUCAGACAGCAGAAAUGACAGCAACCUCAUUUUCUCUAUUUGCAGGUCAUUCUUACAGGCUCUUGAACACACGCUUCUGGAACAGAGCCUCCACUGUAUAUGUGAUGCAGUACUAAAGUGUAACCUGGCUCUAGAGGUCAAGCUUUCGGAGGAUCCUUGCAAGAUGAUGGCUCCAGGCACCAGGUUUGAUCAGCAGCACCGUGCAGAGGAUCUGGGCUCCUGUAACAAAGCAUAGUGGUGAAAUCCAAAGCUGCCCUUAAAAACACAGAGAAAACAUAUAGCUCUGCGUACGAGCCAGGACAGGCGCCUAUAGAAGAGGGUUGUCUGAAAACUGGCAUGAAGUUCAUAGGAAAUUGAACUAAACAAGUUUGUCUGUGCAUAUAUAUAUACAUACAGUCUGGGCUUGUAGAUCUUUUUCCAGGAAGCCUGCUCUAUGAGUCCAAAAGUUCUACCUGGCAGGUCUGCAGCACGAGACUCCAUCCUUUAUACUGUGUGUGAAUGUUAUAAGCAGAAUAAAAUGUUCUUCACAUGAAAUUCACCAUCCCUGGACGUGUUUAAAAACCAUUUGGAUGUGCUGCUCGGGGCCAUGAUUUAGCAGAGGGCUGUUAGAGUUAGGGCAGCAUGGUUGGGUUGCAGUUGGACUUGAUGAUCUUUAAAGGUCUUUUCUAACCUGAGCAAUUCUAUGAUUCUAUAAUGAAAUCCUUCAGGCAGCUAUUUCAUUCUUAUUUCUCAUGGCUUUAUUUCUGAGAGUUCCACACCUCCCUAUUAGAGCUACAUUCCAGAGAGGCACUAACAAGUGUGAGAGAUCCCAGCUGAUGCUGCAACCCUUAUUAUAAGUGGGAUCACGUCUAUUAAAAUUGACAUUUCAGCAAAAAGUUUUGGCUUUUGAUGAAAUGUCCCCAGCAGAGCUGCUGGAGAAGCAAAACAAAAUGGACCACGAUAGUUUUACCGUCUAGUGGUACCAAACCUCUCCCAGGGCAGAAAACACCUCAUCUCACCUUUAAAUGAUAGCGUUAUCAAAUUAUUAGCCUCACUAAUCUGAAGUGCUGUAUUAAAUCUAAGCCCCUACGUUACUGGGGCUGUAGAUAAGGUUUUGUCUUGACAACACCCUCGAAGAUUUACUGGCAGCCACAGUGCUGGGAGCAGUCAGCCAGGACCCACUAACUGCCAGUUCCUACCCAUGUCAAUUAGAUGAAACAUGAGGUAAUAGUAUUGCAAGCUGCUAAAACUGAUGCACGAUGAUCUGUUUGUGUACAUAAAGCGCCAUGUUAUGUUUCCUUUACACCCCAUUACUAAUUAUGCAGAUGUUCGUGCAAUGAAGCAUCAACAGUGCUGCAUAAAAUUUGGUGCAUAUGGAUAUUUUCAGUUAGCAAGAGGCAUGUUGGCAAUUCAAUGACAGAGAAAUACGGGAUCAAAAAUAAAAAGCCAGGAUGCUGACCCCAUUUGGCACGAAAACUCAACCCUUAUCCUGCACAAAGCCCUCCUAGAGAAGAGCUGAUGGUUUUAUUUCCACGGAUUUCUUGAACGGAAAGAUGUAAAUGCCAUAGCAACGGCCUGCAAGUGCAGAAGUGAGGCACUCGGAUCCACUCAGCUGCUCGCAUACAAUAUCAACGACAGGCGCUCACAUCAAUGUGCAUCGCCCUCGUGCUGCUUUCCCCACCAUCUGCUGUGUUUCUGGGCAAGCUUCCUCAUUCCUGUGGUGUGUGAAUCACUGCAUGCUGCAUAGUUAUGUUACUUGAAACACCUCGGGAGGGGAUCUCCUUAUCCCCCUGUGCCACCUUGGUCUGCUCAGAGACAAGUGCCUAAACCAAGGUGGGACACACCUCCUUACCCAGAGUUGGUUUUCUCUCCCCAGUGACUGUAGGUGCCAGCGCUCACCAGCACACAACUACCUACCAAGGAACAGCCCCUGCUCACCAUGUGCUGCCAGGAAGGCCUGCUUGGCAGCCAUCAGACACAUCCACCUCCGGUUCCGGCUGUUCUGCGGCCUUCCUGGACUUGCCCAAUCUUCCUGGUGUUUGUUACAUACAGACAAUAUUUUUAGAUCUUUUCCUACGGCCAAUGAGUCCACAGCUCUCCCCCCAGUUAUUUACGUGAGUUUUGAUUUGAUGAUGUAACCGAGUCACAGUACUGUAUUUAUUUUAUAUACUAUUUAUAUAAAACACUUUAUAUGUGAGCGUGGCUUAAAAUAGUGUCAACUGAAGAGAAGCAAAUACCAGAUCUCCUGUCAUGUUUAGAACAGAGAAUGCAAAUCACUGUCAGCAUUCAAUCCCAAGGAAAACGUUGGUAAAAUCCUUCCACUUAUUUCUGGCUGGUACUUCUACGUGAGUUAGGUUCACAACAUCCAACCACGUUUCUCAAUUUGCUCCUUUCUCACCUGCAUGCAAGUAGGCAAACAGUGAUUCUGCACGACAUCUCUGGGUCUCUUCCACUAAGCAAGAAAAGCAGAUAGAUGUGGGUAAGUAUAUAGAUGUACAUUCUGGGAUAGUAAAUUGAGAACAGUGCCACUAUCUCUACAUAAUGCAGCUAGCACUGCUAUGACAUGCUCAUUUUAAGAUGCGAUACUGCGAAAUGCAUGGCUUGAUUUCAAACAUGGUGGGAACCCAUUUGUAUUGGGACGGCCUUGGGAGAUGUAGUGCUUACCACCUCAUCAGAGAACCCCAAUUGCAUGUACUGAAAAGGACUGCAAGUACUGAAUUACGUUGAAUCUCAGUUAUACUUUGUGUUCUUUCUUAGUCACCAUUUCAGGGAGUGCCUAAAAUGGUUAUAAGCCACCUUCCUGCUCCCAGUAUUUCACAAUUAAGUUGGAAGCUGCCAUGAAACCCAGGACUGCUUUGUUUUCCCUCCCCAGCUGUGCCCUUGGAAGCAAAGAAGGACUGUGUGUUCUGAAAUACACUUAAGCAGCACAGACCUACGAUUCAGUUCCCUCCCCACCAAUGCUGAUGAAACCUCAGUGAUAUUCCCUGGACAGGAAUGGUCAACAUUCAGGGGUUCCUCAUGAGAGCAAAGCAGCAUAAAAGGAGUCAGGUAUAAGUAAAACCCAUAUAAAAAUGUUUCCUUCAGUCUAAUGAUAAACCUGCAAGUGGCCCAAAGAGGUGAGGGAAAUUUAAGGUACAUGUGAAUUGAGAAUCCCAGACUUCCUUUCCCAUUGAUCCUUACUGGCAAAUUUAACCAGUGAGAUAUGCAAGGUAGAUAGUAGAAAAACAAAAUUUGUUUGCCAAACAAAGCAAUCCCCAUUCUUUUGUAUUUAUUACUGCCUGGAAUCUAUGCAUUUCUGUUUCCCAGAGCAACUUAUCUGGAAGGUAUCUAGCCAGUGUUUUCUUUUAAUGAGACUUUUUUUUCCUUUCCAAAUGUGUGUUCUAUUUUGCUGGAAACAUUUAGUGUCAGUAUAAAACGUGAAAGCAGCUCUGAGGUCCUCGCCUUGUAAAUUUUAGCUCACAUCUUCCCAGUAUCACUUAUUCUCUUCAGCAGUAGAGUGAUCUGGAAGAACCAGCAUCGGUGAAGUGCCUGGUGGUUUGGUGGCACUUUAACACAGAGAGCAGAGCUUCUGACUGAGGCUUAGGAAAUGUGUGUUCUGCUCUGAUCUCUCUCACUCAGUCAAUGGGGAAUGAAGACCAAAACCCUUCUAGGCUCCCACUACCCUUUCUGUAAAGCAAUGAAAUGCCUGUUGAGACCGACAACUGAAAAGUGCUACUAAAGAGCUGAGAUUUUCUCUUCUACAUUCCACACCAGCCACAAGUAGGUGGCCAAGGCUCUCAAAGAACUGCAGAAUAAAGGUGAUUCUGGCAACAGUACUACCACCCCCCAAUACCAAGUGGGGUUAUCCAACCUUUACUUCCUAACUGCCCAGGAUAAUGAUGUCUAACCAAAGAUUUACCAUUCAAAAUGGAAUGGACAUAGAGUUAUACUGUUUCUUCCAUCUAUUUUAAGAAUAUAAAAUAGGGUUGUUUUUUUAUUAUUCAAGAGGCAACUGGUGCAUACUUCUGAGCUUACCUCCAGCCCUGGAUGUCUUGCCAGGUGGUGGCAGGUAUUUGGCAGUAGGGCGGUGUUCUGGAUCUGUAAAAGGAAGAUGUGAUUUUGUGGAUUCACAGAUGAAGAACCUUUACCAUUUGGGAGGUGGGGACUAAGGAAAGCAGUCUUGUUUAGCAUGGGAAAUGGCAGACCUUUCAGUAGCUACAAAAUGCUGAAGACCUGUUCUCUAGCACAAAGACCCUUCCAUUCCUCCCACAACAACAUAACCGGGAGGAAAAAUGUAGUGAUCUUAUAGAAGUGAUAGUGCAGAGUGCUAAAGUCAUAGCUAGAAGACAUAGCUGUGCCAUGGUGGGAAAGGUGAUGUUGUGAUUGUUAUUUCCCCUCAAUAAACUGACCUCACAGUUCUGAA